UUGCCUUUGGAGAAUGGAUAA
rnacentral:siRNA from 1 species